rnacentral:rRNA from 1 species
UACGAAGGGGGCUAGCGUUGCUCGGAAUCACUGGGCGUAAAGGGUGCGUAGGCGGGUCUUUAAGUCAGGGGUGAAAUCCUGGAGCUCAACUCCAGAACUGCCUUUGAUACUGAGGAUCUUGAGUUCGGGAGAGGUGAGUGGAACUGCGAGUGUAGAGGUGAAAUUCGUAGAUAUUCGGAAGAACACCAGUGGCGAAGGCGACUUACUGGACACAUAUCGACGCUGAGGUGCGAAAGCGUGGGGAGCAAACAGG